GGGCCGUUAACUCAGAUGGUAGAGUAUCUGCCUUUUAAGCAGAGAGUCGCGCGUUCAAGUCGCGCACGGCCCACCA
rnacentral:tRNA from 1 species